rnacentral:rRNA from 1 species
GACGAACGCUGGCGGCGUGCUUAACACAUGCAAGUCGAGCGGUAAGGCCCUUUCGGGGGUACACGAGCGGCGAACGGGUGAGUAACACGUGGGUGACCUGCCCACAGCUCUGGGAUAAGCCUGGGAAACCGGGUCUAAUACUGGAUAUGACUCCAUGACGCAUGUUGUGGGGUGGAAAGCCUUGUGCGGCUGAGGAUGGGCCCGCGGCCUAUCAGCUUGUUGGUGGGGUGANGGGCCUACCAAGGCGACGACGGGUAGCCGGCCUGAGAGGGCGACCGGCCACACUGGGACUGAGACACGGCCCAGACUCCUACGGGAGGCAGCAGUGGGGAAUCUUGCGCAAUGGGCGAAAGCCUGACGCAGCGACGCCGCGUG